rnacentral:rRNA from 1 species
ACCGUGAGGGAAAGGCGAAAAGAACCCCGGCGAGGGGAGUGAAAAAGAACCUGAAACCGUGUACGUACAAGCAGUGGGAGCACAGGUUUACCUGUGUGACUGCGUACCUUUUGUAUAAUGGGUCAGCCGGUUCACCGUCCUGACCACCUCCCCAGAACAGUCCAUUACGGGAUAACGCCAGAGACGAGCUGUAGCCAGCGGUGAGUGAACUGGCGCUGCCCGCAUUACGUUGAUGGGAGUUACUGAUAGUGG